AGGGAAAGAGGGAGGAAGGAGGUACACAUGAAAGUCGAACGGUAACAGGCCGCAAGGUGAUGAAGAGUGGUGAAAGGGUGAGUAAUGGAUUGGAACGUGAUUAGUAGUGGGGGAUAAAUACUCGAAAGAGUAGCUAAUACCGCAUACGAUCUAUGGAUGAAAGCGGGGGACCGUAAGGCCUCGCGCGAUUGGAGCGGCCGAUGUCAGAUUAGGUAGUUGGUGGGGUAAAGGCUCACCAAGCCAACGAUCUGGAGCUGGUCUGAGAGGACGACCAGCCACACUGGGACUGAGACACGGCCCAGACUCCUACGGGAGGCAGCAGUGGGGAAUUUUGGAAAAUGGGAGCAAGAAUGAUAAAGAAAUGCCGCGUGCAGGAAGAAGGCCUUCGGGUUGUAAACUGCUUUUGUACGGAACGAAACGGCUCUGGUUAAUACCCGGGGCUAAUGACGGUACCGUAAGAAUAAGCCCCGGCUCACUACAU
rnacentral:rRNA from 1 species